rnacentral:rRNA from 1 species
GAAAUGCGAUAAGUAAUGUGAAUUGCAGAAUUCAGUGAAUCAUCGAAUCUUUGAACGCACCUUGCGCCCUUUGGUAUUCCGAGGGGCAUGCCUGUUUGAGUGUCAUU